UGGACCUUGGCUCAGUGGUAGAGUGCUUGCCUUGCAUGCAUGAGGCCCUGGGUUCCAUUCCUCAGCACCAC
rnacentral:tRNA from 1 species